rnacentral:rRNA from 1 species
CUCUUCUUGUUUUUAUUUUGAAGUAUAACCUGCCCACUGAUUAAUUUUAAAGGGCCGCGGUAUUUUGACCGUGCAAAGGUAGCAUAAUCAUUAGUCUUUUAAUUGAAGACUAGAAUGAAUGGUUGGACGAGGAAUACACUGUUUCUUAAUAAUAUAUUUUGAAUUUAAGUUUUAAGUUAAAAUGCUUAAAUUUUUUUAUGGGACGAGAAGACCCUAUAGAGUUUAAUAAAUUUUAUAAUUGUUUUGUUUGUUAAAGGUAUUUAUUAUAGAAUUUAUUUUGUUGGGGUGAUGAAAAUGAAUUAAUAAACUCUUUUUUUUAUUUAUAUAUUUAUUUAUAAUAAUUUGAUCCAUUCUUGUUGAUUAUAAGACUAAAUUACCUUAGGGAUAACAGCGUAAUCUUUUUUGAGAGUUCUUAUUGAUAAAAGGGUUUGCGACCUCGAUGUUGGAUUAAGAUUUAAUUUGGGUGUAGCCUUUCAAUUGUUUAGGUCUGUUCGACCUUUAAAAUCUUACA